rnacentral:rRNA from 1 species
UUGAUCCUGCCGGAGGUUACUGCUAUCGGGGUCCGACUAAGCCAUGCGAGUUGAGAGGGGUAAAGCCCUCAGCAUACUGCUCAGUAACACGCGGAUAACCUGCCCUUGGGUCCGAGAUAACCCCGGGAAACUGGGACUAAUACCGGAUAGAUCAGAGAUACUGGAAUGUUCUCUGGUCUAAAGCUCCGGCGCCCAAGGAUGGGUCUGCGGCCUAUCAGGUAGUAGUGGGUGUAACGUACCUACUAGCCUACGACGGGUACGGGUUGUGAGAGCAAGAUCCCGGAGAUGGAUUCUGAGACAUGAAUCCAGGCCCUACGGGGUGCAGCAGGCGCGAAACCUUUACAAUGCGGGCAACCGCGAUAAGGGGACCCCGAGUGCCAGCACCUAGUGCUGGCUGUCCCGCUGUUUAAAUAACAGUGGUUAGCAAGGGCCGGGCAAGACCGGUGCCAGCCGCCGCGGUAACACCGGCGGCCCGAGUGGUAACCGUUUUUAUUGGGUUUAAAGGGUCCGUAGCCGGCCUAUUAAGUCUCUUGGGAAAUCUGGCGGCUUAAUCGUCAGGCGGCCAAGAGAUACUGAUAGGCUCGGGACCGGGAGAGGUGGGAGGUACUCCAGGGGUAGGGGUGAAAUCUCGUAAUCCUUGGGGGACCACCGAUGGCGAAGGCAUCCCACCAGAACGGGUCCGACGGUGAGGGACGAAAGCUGGGGGCACGAACCGGAUUAGAUACCCGGGUAGUCCCAGCUGUAAACGAUGCUCGCUAGGUGUCAGGUGCGGUGCGACCGCAUCUGGUGCCGCAGUGAAAACUUGAAGCGAGUCACCUGGGAAGUACGGACGCAAGGCUGAAACUUAAAGGAAUUGGCGGGGGAGCACUACAACGGGUGGAGCCUGCGGUUUAAUUGGAUUCAACGCCGG